rnacentral:rRNA from 1 species
UGCAAGUCGAGCGGUAGAGAGAAGCUUGCUUCUCUUGAGAGCGGCGGACGGGUGAGUAAUGCCUAGGAAUCUGCCUGGUAGUGGGGGAUAACGUUCGGAAACGGACGCUAAUACCGCAUACGUCCUACGGGAGAAAGCAGGGGACCUUCGGGCCUUGCGCUAUCAGAUGAGCCUAGGUCGGAUUAGCUAGUUGGUGAGGUAAUGGCUCACCAAGGCGACGAUCCGUAACUGGUCUGAGAGGAUGAUCAGUCACACUGGAACUGAGACACGGUCCAGACUCCUACGGGAGGCAGCAGUGGGGAAUAUUGGACAAUGGGCGAAAGCCUGAUCCAGCCAUGCCGCGUGUGUGAAGAAGGUCUUCGGAUUGUAAAGCACUUUAAGUUGGGAGGAAGGGCAUUAACCUAAUACGUUAGUGUUUUGACGUUACCGACAGAAUAAGCACCGGCUAACUCUGUGCCAGCAGCCGCGGUAAUACAGAGGGUGCAAGCGUUAAUCGGAAUUACUGGGCGUAAAGCGCGCGUAGGUGGUUUGUUAAGUUGGAUGUGAAAUCCCCGGGCUCAACCUGGGAACUGCAUUCAAAACUGACUGACUAGAGUAUGGUAGAGGGUGGUGGAAUUUCCUGUGUAGCGGUGAAAUGCGUAGAUAUAGGAAGGAACACCAGUGGCGAAGGCGACCACCUGGACUAAUACUGACACUGAGGUGCGAAAGCGUGGGGAGCAAACAGGAUNAGAUACCCUGGUAGUCCACGCCGUAAACNAUGUCAACUAGCCGUUGGGAGCCUUGAGCUCU